AAAGUGGUCCCGUCGUCCAUGGGACACCUGAACACGUCGCCCGUCUGCUGGUCGUCCGUCCAGGCCAGGGGGGCACCCACCAGGAGCCUGCACACAUACAACUGCCUGUCAAGGAAUUUUCCUUGGCGGCGGAGCAACAUUCCCGGGAUGACGGCAGAAGGAAGAACACAUUGGAAACGAAAAGAAAAGAAAAAGACGAGCGCGAGUACGGCUGAGAUGGAAAAUGCAGGAGAGGAAGGAGGACAGGAGGCCCGGUGCUCCUCACCAUUGUCGUCCUUGCGCGUUGUGUUGUCGUAACGUGUAGCCGAAGUGGCUCUCCUCCCAGCCUCGGAAGAUCUGCGCCCGCUUGGUGUCCAGAAGGCCGCAGAUCAUCGAGCUGAUGAAGAAGCGGCGCCAAGAAUCCAUCACGGUCACCCGAGAGAUUCGAAAGCCGAUGUCCAAAU